rnacentral:siRNA from 1 species
AGGUACAGUGCCAAUACAAAACA